GGGAAUAUAGCACAAUGGCGGGAACUCUGAUGCAGCGACGCCGCGUGAGUGAAGAAGUCAUUAGUGAUGUAAAGCUCUAUCAGUAGGGAAGAGAUAGGACGGUACCUAAUGAAGAAGCACCGUCUAAAUACGUGCCAGCAGCCGCGGUGAUACGUAUGGUGCAAGCGUUAUCCGGAAUUACUGGGUGUAAAGGGUGCGUAGGUGGCAAGGCAAGUCUGAUGUGAAACCCCAAAGCUUAACUAUGGGAAUGCAUUGGAAACUGUCUAGCUAGAGUGUAGGAGAGGUAAGCGGAAUUCCUAGUGUAGCGGUGAAAUGCGUAGAUAUUAGGAGGAACAUCGGUGGCGAAGGCGGCUUACUGGACUAUAACAGACACUGAGGCUCGAAAGCGUGGGGAGCGAACA
rnacentral:rRNA from 1 species